rnacentral:rRNA from 1 species
GCCAGACUCCUACGGGAGGCAGCAGUGGGGGAUAUUGCACAAUGGGGGGAACCCUGAUGCAGCGACGCCGCGUGGGUGAAGGAGCGUUUCGGCGCGUAAAGCCCUAUCGGCAGGGAAGAAGGAGGACGGUACCUGACUAAGAAGCCCCGGCUAACUACGUGCCAGCAGCCGCGGUAAUACGUAGGGGGCAAGCGUUAUCCGGAUUUACUGGGUGUAAAGGGGGCGCAGACGGCAGCGCAAGCCAGGAGUGAAAGCCCGGGGCCCAACCCCGGGACUGCUCUUGGAACUGCGCGGCUGGAGUGCAGGAGGGGCAGGCGGAAUUCCUGGUGUAGCGGUGAAAUGCGUAGAUAUCAGGAGGAACACCGGUGGCGAAGGCGGCCUGCUGGACUGCGACUGACGUUGAGGCCCGAAAGCGUGGGGAGCAAACAGGAUUAGAUACCCUUGUAGUA